rnacentral:lncRNA from 1 species
UUAAUAACUAGAAUAACUCAUAUCUUUUAAUAAUAACUAAAGUGUUUUCGUUUUUUUUAAUCCCUAAAAUACCCUUCUAAAGCUUUGUACCAAAAAUUAUAAUAACAAAAAUGCCAUUAAAAAAAAAAUGCCAUCGAGGCAAAAGUUGCUGUUAUUUACAAAAAAACCUAUCGUUAUUUACAACUUUGCCACUGAUCUUUGCGAAUUCAAAUAAAUCUGUAGAACAAAUCUGCCACAGGUUUGAUAAAUCUGCCACCGAUUUUAUAAAUCUGCCACCGAUUUUAUAAAUCUGUUACCGAUUUAUAAAUC